rnacentral:rRNA from 1 species
UACGAAGGGGGCUAGCGUUGCUCGGAAUCACUGGGCGUAAAGCGCACGUAGGCGGACUUUUAAGUCAGGGGUGAAAUCCUGGAGCUCAACUCCAGAACUGCCUUUGAUACUGGAAGUCUUGAGUUCGAGAGAGGUGAGUGGAACUGCGAGUGUAGAGGUGAAAUUCGUAGAUAUUCGCAAGAACACCAGUGGCGAAGGCGGCUCACUGGCCCGGUACUGACACUGAGGUGCGAAAGCGUGGGGAGCAAACAGG